GGAAGGGUACAGCUCAGUGGUAGAGCGCAUGCUUAGCAUGCACGAGGUCCUGGGUUCAAUGCCCUGUACCUCCA
rfam:Camelus ferus unplaced genomic scaffold scaffold1254, whole genome shotgun sequence.